GACGAACGCUGGCGGCGUGCUUAACACAUGCAAGUCGAACGCUGAAGACCUGGCUUUUGUUGGGUUGGAUGAGUGGCGAACGGGUGAGUAACACGUGAGUAACCUGCCCUCUUCUUUGGGAUAACGCCCGGAAACGGGUGCUAAUACUGGAUAUUCACUGAUCUUCGCAUGGGGGUUGGUGGAAAGGUUUGUUCUGGUGGGGGAUGGGCUCGCGGCCUAGCAGCUUGGUGGUGGGGUGAUGGCCUACAAAGGCUUUGACGGGUAGCCGGCCUGAGAGGGUGACCGGGCACAUUGGGACUGGUAUACGGCCCAGACUGCGACGGGAGGCAGCAGUGGGGAAUAUUGCACAAUGGGCGAAAGCCUGAAGCAGCGACGCCGCGUGAGGGAUGGAGGCCUUCGGGUUGUAAACCUCUUUCGCGCAUGGUCAAGCCGCAACUGUGGGUUGUGGUGAGGGUAGUGGGUAAAGAAGCGCCGGCUAACUACGUG
rnacentral:rRNA from 1 species